CCUACGGGUGGCAGCAGUGGGGAAUAUUGCGCAAUGGGCGAAAGCCUGACGCAGCGACGCCGCGUGAGGGAUGAAGGUCUUCGGAUCGUAAACCUCUGUCAGCAGGGAAGAACGGUCACUGUGCUAAUCAGCAGUGAAUUGACGGUACCUGCAAAGGAAGCACCGGCUAACUCCGUGCCAGCAGCCGCGGGAAUACGGAGGGUGCGAGCGUUAAUCGGAAUUACUGGGCGUAAAGCGCUCGUAGGCGGUAUGUCAAGUCAAGGGUGAAAUCCCCGCGCUCAACGUGGGAACUGCCUUGGAAACUGGCAAACUGGAGUGUGUGAGAGGAUAGUGGAAUUCCAGGUGUAGGAGUGAAAUGCGUAGAUAUCUGGAAGAACAUCAGUGGCGAAGGCAACUAUCUGGCACAUAACUGACGCUGAGGAGCGAAAGCGUGGGUAGCAAACAGGAUUAGAUACCCUUGUAGUC
rnacentral:rRNA from 1 species